CUUCAAUCCUCAUAUUUUUGACAUUGAAGUUUUUCUUCUUCUCCUCUCUCACUAUGCUGCCGUUCCGGGUUUCUUUCCUUCGAUUCGUUUUAUCUACUGCGGAUCCACCAAAUUUAUCGGGGAACUAGCUGCACCGAUGAAGAAGGAGUUGCAGAGCUUUUGGUUGUUUGACAUCGUUUUGAACCUGGAAGGCUCAGAUCUACAAAAGCCCCCAAAUUCCCAGGUUCGAUAUCGCCGGAUACACAACACGCGUCACCGUCCCCUUUACUUUUAAGGCCUUAAGUAGCUCUCAGCCUCUAUUGGUAAUUACUUUCAUGCGCGCGUACUCCUUGCUUAACAUAUCUGAGUCUUCUUCAUCAGAGUUGGUCCACUAUUGAUAUUAACCUUGGGCUGAGGUAUCUCUUUAGUAACAAAGACAUCUUCUUCAUGGAGUUGAGUUCCAAUGCUUCUGAUGUGCUAUACAAGAUUAGAUUCCUUUCCCUCACAUAUAAGGAAAUUCAGAUUAAAUUAGACCAAGAGAGAGAAUCCUCUCCUAUGUGACUAGAUUACAUGUAUGACAAAGGAGGUGGCUUGAUCAAGAACUUGGGAAUUAUAGCAAAAUCUGGAACUUCAUGUCUCUUUUGUUGUUAUAUUGAAGUUUACAUUUGUUAUCUAUUUCGAAUGCAAUUGAUGGAAAGGUAAAAGUUAUUAGAACCUAUUGUUUGUUUAUUUGUCUUUAGUUUGUAUAAUAGUACUACUUUUGUGUGAGGACCUUGUUGAUCUAGUUAAAUUAAUUAAUUAUAGUUUGCAAGGGUUGAUGUUAAAUAUGAAGAGAUAAUUGAAGCAACCUCAACUGGCUCCAGUUCAAUGAUUUCCAAGAUUGUUCAAAUGGUUGAGGAUGCUCAAGGCCAUGAAGCACCAAUAGAAGGGCUUACUGAUUCAAUAGCUGGAUCUUUUGUAUACAGUAUAAUGACUCUCAGCUACAAUAUUUGGUUUUUGAAACAAAGGGAGGUGGAAUCAGAAAGGAUAGAGAAGAUGCCGGAGGAACAUGCAGCUGUGAACCUGCAUUCUAACUGUGCUCGAGGCUCGACAUGAACAUCACUGGCAGAUUCAUUGGCAGAUAUGGUAUGAUUGUAGAAAAGAAUACAUCUACCUUUGUUUUCUUUAAGGUACUAACUUCUACAUAUAAAUGUGUUGGGAUAGUGAUUUAGACUGUUGCUUGAAAGUGGCUAUUAGUUGUCGAUUGUUUGGUUUGGGGCUGGUAUAUUAUUCUGAGUAUCUUGUUUUGCUAUCAAUGUGGAGUUUUAUAAUCCUCGUGUACAAGAACUCAUUAUUUUCCUUCUUGGCAUGGACAAGAACUCAUUAUUUUCCUUCUUGGCAUCUACAAUUUACAGAUAGUGAUCUACAAUGCUUGAAGAUUUACAGAAUUGCUACUUGCUAGAUAAUACUUCACAUUGCAAAAUUUAAUUCUUGUUUUCUAGAACUUCAGGUACUGUGAGCACGUUGCCAUUUUCUUUGAAAGAGUUUGUCCAUAUCAAAGAAGGGUUGCAGUUGUGGAGAAGAAAUUUUGUUGUCUCUGGAUGUAAUGAAUUAUUUUGAGUUCGUGAAUUUGUUGUAUGAUGCAUUUUUUAAUAUAGUAUACAGUACAUGAAAUGUAGAGGUGCCAAAUACUAGUAUUUGGCACCUAUUUUUUUAUUCCAGUUUAAUGAUUUUGCCA